GCUGAGAACCCACUCUAUCAUCAUUAGAUAGUGGCAGCUCCUGUAAGUUUUUAAGGGUUAUUGGAAGAUUAUUUGUCUUCAUACAGCUUCACCUAAAUUAUGUUGGUGCUUGCUUUAGGACCUUCAGACCUGGAUGGGGAUGUAUGAUCAGGAUCCUGGUUCUCAGGCCUUCUGGUCCAUACUGUAGCUAUACCUCCAGCUUUCCUGUGCUAUCAGUUUGGAGACAGCAGGUCAUGAGACUUCACUGCAUUCAUAAUUAUGUGAGCCAGUUUGUCAUGGUAAAUAUGUAUGUAUGUAUGUAUGUAUGUAUGUAUGUAUGUAUGUAUCCAUCCAUCCAUCCUAUUGAUUCUGUUUCUCUGGAGAAUGCUGCUUAAAACACCUCUCUGCCUUCAGAACCCAUUUUCUUUCCUCUGACAUGUUAAUACUUUGAAUUUUAUAGAGAGAUAUUAUGUGAGCAGAUGUGGCAUCUUUAUUGAAUAUAAAAUGGUCAAUUUUGCUGCAUCACCCAAUUUCUUACUCUGAUAGAAACUAUAAUGUAAGAAAUGAGAUAAUAAUUAUAAGUGAUUAUGACAAGUGUAAUAAUAACAUCACUUUUAUAAGGAAAUAAGGAAAAACAAUAAUUUAUAAUGAAAUAAAAACUAAUGAUCAACAUA